AGUGAACGCUGGCGGUAGGCCUAACACAUGCAAGUCGAACGGCAGCACAGUAAGAGCUUGCUCUUACGGGUGGCGAGUGGCGGACGGGUGGGGAAUACAUCGGAAUCUACUUUUUCGUGGGGGAUAACGUAGGGAAACUUACGCUAAUACCGCAUACGACCUACGGGUGAAAGCAGGGGAUCUUCGGACCUUGCGCGAUUGAAUGAGCCGAUGUCGGAUUAGCUAGUUGGCGGGGUAAAGGCCCACCAAGGCGACGAUCCGUAGCUGGUGUGAGAGGAUGAUCAGCCACACUGGAACUGAGACACGGUCCAGACUCCUACGGGAGGCAGCAGUGGGGAAUAUUGGACAAUGGGCGCAAGCCUGAUCCAGCCAUACCGCGUGGGUGAAGAAGGCCUUCGGGUUGUAAAGCCCUUUUGUUGGGAAAGAAAAGCAGCAGGUUAAUACCCCGCUGUUCUGACGGUACCCAAAGAAUAAGCACCGGCUAACUUCGUG
rnacentral:rRNA from 1 species